rnacentral:lncRNA from 1 species
CUGGAAGGCAGCAUUUCUCCCCCCUCCACCAUCCCAGAAAGACAAAGGAAGACUUCCAUUUGUGUGGCUAAGUCUCCCUUGGGCAGAGAGCCCACUGGGGGUCUGAGCUUCUCUGCUGGGAUCGCGUCAGAGUCUCAUUUCCUUAACGGGAGACUUCCUGAUGAGCAGGAUGAAUUUACAGUGUAUUUGACCGGAAUGAAAAGUAAAAGCUGAUGCAGCUGUGCUUGAUAACGAUGAGGGGGAUGAGGGAGAGUGAGGCAGCACCUGCCUGCUGACUUCAUCGCAGGCUCCAUGCUGUGGCAGCAGUUGUGUGGUGUUUGCUUGUUUCCAUCUCUAUCUGGAGCAAAAAUUCUAUAGCAGAGCCCCUCACCCCACUCCCUUCUCUCCCCUUCCCAGGAGGGUGGUGUGUGACUGGGCUCAAAAACAAAGAGUAAGAACCCUGAUUCUAAUUUGCAUCUUUUCUUUCUUAGGACACAGGAGCCCUUAAUUUUCUGGGGAGUGGGGAUCUUGUUUCCUCUGCCUUUGCCACUUGGUCAUUUUGUACUUUGAGGACAUUAGGUGGAUAGGUGGACAAAAAAUAAUGUGCAUUCAAUUGGCUAAUGAUGUUGGAAUUGAUUGUGCUGGAAAGUAGUGGAAUGAAGAUGGCUUGGGUGGCCUUGGGACUUGGGGAGAAGUGAGGUUAGGGGAGGUCUCCACGUCUCUCUCUUAGUGCAACUUAAUUUUAAGAUCUGGCAACUACUGUUUGUUUGUGAUGAUUAUAGGUUCAAGUUGCCCCCAGAGUAGUGAAAUUUCAAGCUCUCCUACUCUGCUGACUGUAGUGCCAAGCUUAACCCGAGAGUAUCCUGGGAUGGCACAUCCAGAAACUACAGCUUGUUUGGAAAGAUGGAGAAAUCAAAGCUCCAAAUGGCCGAGCAAUCUACUGAAGAUCACACAGCUAGACUGGUAGCACCUAAAAUUUGAACCCAGGUCUGAUGGACUGAACCUCACACCUUGGUUUCUCAAAAUGUUAAGGACUGAUAUGAUGGGCUGGUAAUUCCUUGUUGCGGGAGCUGCUUUGUACAUUGUAGGAUGUCUAGCAGUAUCCUGGCUUCUAUUCUACAUCAUAGUAGCACCCCUACUCCUGUAUGACAACCAAAAAUGUCUCCAGAUAGUCCCCUGUCUCCUGAUGGGCAAGGUCACCCCUCUCCCAGUUGAUCCUACUGCCCUGUGUUAACAUAUAUAUUCUCUCAUUUAAUUCACACAGCAAUCCUAUACACCAGGCGCUGUAUCAUCCCCAUUUUGCAGAUUAAAAA